rnacentral:tRNA from 1 species
UGCGAGGUGGAGCAGUCUGGUAGCUCGUCGGGCUCAUAACCCGAAGGUCGGAGGUUCGAAUCCUUCCCUCGCUACCA